rnacentral:rRNA from 2 species
UUGACCUCGGAUCAGGUAGGAAUACCCGCUGAACUUAAGCAUAUCAAUAAGACGGAGGAA